rnacentral:rRNA from 1 species
GGCUUUUUAGCUAGCCCGAUCAAACAACUUCAACAAACCCCUGUUAAUAACCCCUAAGUACACUAAUGUUCUUACAAACAAACCAUUUUUCCCCCUUAGU